rnacentral:misc_RNA from 1 species
UAUUAUUUCCUCCAACAUAUAGCAACUCUCUAUAUCUAGUUCGUGGAGUUGUACAAGACCCUUAGCCACAAAAACUGAGAAUAUGUUUCUCAAACUGGCACAUAUAUGAACUUGUAGCUUUCUCAGCUUCCGAAAGCCAAUGACAUUUUCUGGAAUUUUGGUGAAUAUGUUCAUCAGUUUUGGUAGAUCUGACAGUUGGACUUCUUCAAGAUGAGAGAAUGUUACAAAAUAUCCUACAUCAGUAUUCGUUCCUUGGCACUCAAACAUCUCCAUCAAUGAACCACACCUACGCACAAUAAGCUUUUCCAACUUUUGAAGGCACUCUAUCAAAUAGAACGGAAUGAGAUUCACCCAAUUUUCACAGUUUUCAACUUCCAGAACACGUACAUUGCUUAAAUCGCCUUCUGAUUGUUGGCCAUUCUCUAUCCUUCUCAAAAUUUUCUUGCAAUGGAUGAGUAAUCUUGUCAACAUCUGCAAUGCUCAUAAUAUCAUGACCACAAAGUAAACAAUUAAACACAAACAUCCAUUAUAAUUUGGGAAUGCGAAAUGUUAAGUAUUAAUUAACUUGAUUAUGCAAAAUUACUAAUUAUUGAAGAGGUCUUUGGCCUAAUGAUAAGUGGUGCGGAGACUCAAUUACCUUAAGAUGUUACCUACUAGAACUAUAUUCUAAAAUCCUAAAUAUAGGAAACUAAAGCCAGAGUAAUUUUCCACCAAUCAAUUCUAAUUUGUGUUAGUCUAAGAAAAGAGAGUCAGUCAAAAAGAAAAGGAGAGUUCACAACCUUAGUGAGAGUAGAAUUAUAAUUGGAGAAUAAAGUUAUUAGAAAAGAAAACAUACCACUUCUUUUUCAGUUGCAUUAAGGUCUCCCAUUAAUGGAUAGUUCUCAUCACUUAUUUUUAGUUUCUCUAGCUUUGGUAAUUCAAGAGCAUAAGUCCCACUGUAAAAACUCUUGAGGUUGGGUAAAUUCGCAAAUAUCAGAGAUUUUAGCUGAGGGAACACGAUCUUGUUCAUGCUUGCUUCUUGUUCUUCUUCAUCCUCUUUCGCAAUAAUUUCCAUCAUCCUCUUGCAGCUAGUAACCUCUAUUUGUUGGAGCUUUACUAGAAGUUUGGCAGAGUGAGGAGAGAAAAGAUACGUUAAAUUUUCACAAGAAUUUACCCUCAACAGUUGCAGGUUUUGGAAGGCUGAUAUUUCUGGCGGAAUCUUGAACCAUAUAUGCAUUAACUUAGAUAAACUACUUAAAUGCAACUCCUUUAAAGAAUUGAGGAUUCCAAUAGUAGCAUGGUACUCCUGAAGAAUCAACCCGUCAAAUGAAAAUAUCACUUCCAAUGUAUCAGAUUUCUCCAUUUUAAGGUUUUCCAAAUUUUGAAACCCUUCAAUCAAUUUGGAUGGA